GGAGAAAGAGAAGAGAAAAGAUAAACACCAUGGAUAAGACUCUUGUGUAGGAAGUGAAAAACGAAGCUGUGUGCAAUGAGUUCCAUACGAUUGCCUUUAAGGCUGUCAUUCUCAAUACGUCGGUGAAAAUCACGACGAUGAUGAUGAUGAUUGGGUUUUUAAUCUUACAGAGCCUUGAGGCCAAUCAGCUGCAACAUCAACACCGCAUCCCGAAGCAGCUCAUUUGCAUAUAGCGACGCCCACAAAACUCCAUAUAAGGAUGGAGAACUGAAACCCCCCCAGGCAAACUUUCGACUGUGAAUCGACAGAUCCUCACUCCUUCACAAGAUCAGACAUGUGGAACUCACGGCCCUCAGGCUACUUCAGGCUGGAGAUCCGCACCCUCGGGA